rfam:Aedes albopictus isolate Foshan contig90176, whole genome shotgun sequence.
UAGCCUAGUGGUUAAAGCUAUGGAUCGCCGAUCCAGAGACGGCGGGUUCGAUUCCCGU